UACGGAGGGUGCAAGCGUUAUCCGGAUUCACUGGGUUUAAAGGGUGCGUAGGCGGAGUGCUAAGUACCUUGUGAAAUCCCACGGCUCAACCGUGGAACUGCUUGGUAUACUGGUUCUCUUGAGCCACCUAGGGGCAACCGGAACAAACGGUGGAGCGGUGAAAUGCGUAGAUAUCGUUUGGAACGCCAAUGGUGAAAACAGGUUGCUGGGGGUGUGCUGACGCUGAGACACGAAAGCCAGGGGAGCAAACGGG
rnacentral:rRNA from 1 species